UGUGUGUGUGUGUAUAUAUAUAUGCAUGUAUGUUUGCUACACAACAUUGAAUAUAGACAUUUACAUGCUAGCUCAAUUCUUUUAAAAGACCAGCUAAAAUUAAUAGGAAACUUGCUAUAAGUCUCCAAAUCCAAAGUAAUAAAAUGAUGCAAUAGGAGAACAAAAUCCGUCAGUACUCCCUAGAGGCAACUCCACUCCAGAAAAUUAAAAUGCGAAUGGGAAACAAAGACAACAGACAUGAGGAAUAGGACAGGAAAACCUGGAAAUAUUGCAUGGGUUUAAGAAAUAACAGUGAUGCAAGAAAGGAACAUUAAACAAGAACCCCAAAAGGGCAAUCCAAUAAAACAAAGCUAGUAUAUAUACAAAAUUUUAUCAACCAUGUAAAGAAUAACCACUGCCUUCAGGAAAAUUUGCAGUGGUCUUCCCACCUCCCACCAACCAAUCCCAACUGUGACAUCAUUCUAUUCCCUUUCCAGAAAGAAUUCCUAUUAAUACCUUGUCAUCUUCAAUUUAUCCAAUUCCUUGCAUUGUAGUAUUAGACUAUCAAAAGAAGGCUUUUCAAAUCAAGCGAAGGAUCCAGGUUAACUACCUUUGAAAGCAUUCAUCGUCCUACAUGAAGAUCUUCAGAGGAAACUGCUGCUCGAGGCAUGUUGUCAUUAUCAAAAGCACUUAGACCAGAGUAAGGACCUGAAGAGAAUAUCGAAGAUGUCCCAUCAGACUCGAAAGUAGUUGAUGACUGUCUCAUGUUUGGCCGGGUAUUGGAGGCUGACAUGGAAUCCUGAUACUCUGUGACACGCUGCACCAUUUUGAGUGACUGGACCACUUCACCCAUGGUGGGUCGUUGGUUUGCCUCAGGGGCAACACAAGCAGCUGCAAUGGUACAAACCCGUACAAAAUCUUCUUUUGGAUAUUUUCCCCCCAGCCUUGGAUCAGCAAGCUCUUCUAACCUAUCUUUGUCUCUAAGAAUUGGCCUGGCCCAAGUGACAAGGUUUUCCUGCCCAGAUGGUUGUGACAUAUCCACAGGUUUCCUCCCUGUCAGCAACUCAAGGAGAACAACUCCAUAGCUGUAAACAUCACUUUUUACUAGUAGAUGUCCAGUCAUAGCAUAUUCAGGGGCUACAUACCCAAAUGUGCCCAUGACACGAGUAGAAAGGUAAUUUGCUCUCCCUUCAGGUGCCUGUUUCGCAAGUCCAAAAUCAGCAACUUUAGCAUGAAAGUUGUUCUCAAGCAAUAUAUUUGAUGCCUUGAAGUCUCUGUGGAUAACACAAGGUUGUGAGUCCUCAUGCAGGUAUGCAAGACCUCUUGCAGCAUCAAGUGCGAUUUUCAUUCUGGUGUCCCAGUCCAAAGGACAAUUUACACCCAGAGGACCUGAGGCACAAUCAGACAGUAUUGUGUACUCUAUUACACAGUAUGAAAUAUCCUAAGUUGCAUGAACUCAAUUGCAAGUGCCCUGUGUCAGUAUUGUGUACUAUAUUAUACAGUAUAAAUUAUCUUAUGUUGCAUGAACUCAGCUGCAAGUGCCUUGUGCAGAUAUGUACGAAGGAUUCAACAUCAUAGAAUUCAGAUCUUCAGGCAGCACAAUAAUCCAAAAAAUUGCAUAUGAGCAUGAUCACAUGUUUGAUGUUUGCUAAUUAGUGUUAUUAUUAUUAUGUGUAAUUUGGUUUAUGUCAUUAGGCGCCAUGACAUUCACCAAGGUCAUUAAUCUAGCUGAAAUUCAACAAAUAGACCACUAAUAAAGAAAGUCAAACUAGAGAUGCACAUUUUUCAAUUUCUUGUUAUUACCGGCUUACCGCUGAUGAGAUUGUAUCCAAAGCCUAAAAGAAUUGGGUAAAAGGUCCCACGUGGUCAUGGGCUAAAGACAACCAUGUUUCUAUCUCACACAUAUGUUAAUGUCAUGUCAGUGUGGGCACCAUGGGCUGAAGUGCUGAAUUAGUGUAACAUAGGUAAUAUCUAUUUUUUUUUUCAACAAUAAACAUUCUGUCUUCAUGAAAGUUAUUGGUAUUAGAAGGAAAUAGCAAACACUUGGACGACAAGUGUAUCUUUGUUUUAAGAUAAUUACCAUUUAGCCAGGCCUCUAAGCUUCCAUUUGGAAUGAGUUCAUAACACAGUAGAUUUUGCGAAGAGUCACGACUACUAUAGUAACCCACAAGCUUCACAAGAUUGCGGUGAUGCAACCUGCUAAGCAUCUCAACCUCAGCAAGAAAUUCUUUAUUGCCUUGUUGUCCUCCGCUAGUAAGCCUCUUAAUUGCUACAGCUGUACCGUCAUUUAAGACACCCUUGAAAACUCUACCAAACCCACCCUCUCCAAGUAUGCUUGCAGAUUCAAAGUUGUUUGUUGCUUCUUUAAGUUCUUCAUAGGCUAGAAACCGUGUACUGCUAGGAUGUGGAAGAGAUCCUCCUGCUGGAACAGCAUCCACAGUCCUUGGCUUCACAUUUUCUUUAGGAGAUCCUUUAGGCUUCCCUUCACGAAAUGCGCAUGAACAAAUUACAAGCACAGAUACUAUGGUGAGAAUCACAAUGCCAGCACCAAUACCGAGUAUGAGAAUUAGAUUUGAAUGUUUGCCUCUGCCUGGAUCACUGGGUAGUGUGGAAGUUGCAGAUUGAUGUGCUGGUGCUUCCACAGGUGAUGAAGCAACAAUAGGAGCUUGGGAAGGUGAUGGAGGUUCAAACCAGGUAAGAUUGAGGAGUCUGUAAUCACCCACGAGGGUGGAGUCAAAAUGAACCUUAUGUAAUGCAAGCGAAGAAUUUAUUGAAGACACAUCACUGGCAGAGAAGCUGAUUCCCGUAUGAGGAGUAAUAUCCAUUGAAAUAUUUAAUCUUGAUAAGCUGAGUACAUAAAAGUUGAUAAGCUCAAUUUGAGAAACUAGCAAAUCAAGCUGGGAAGCUAACUCUUGCAGAAAUCUGUCCCAGUUAGGAUUUUGUGAGACAUUCAAAAGGAGAAAGUCAAGCUUUAUGGGAUACACACAAUGGCAAUUAUGACUCCCUUGUUUCAACACCAUGUCAGGUUUGCAACAAUCAGAGAAAUGAGGAGAUAAUGGCGGCUGAGCUAAACCAGAAGCAUUUGCACUAGUGUUGGAUUGUGUUGGUGCAAUUUCUAUCAAUCCAACAGUGGGAGGCACUAAAGCAUUCUUCUUCAUUGAUGGUUUUGACAAAUGUGAACUAGUAGGCGGGUGAAUAGAAGUUAUUAAUGGACCAUAAUUAAGAGGUGCGGCUGGUGCUACCACAACCGAUGAUGCACCAAGUGGUGAUAAAUGUUUUCUACGCAGUUUAUGAAACAGUGGAAGGUUGGCUGGCAGAGGCAGAUCAAGAAUGGCAGGUGCAGCGGCAGGUACUCUACUUGGAGGUACUAUCAGUUCUUUGAAGUGUCGAUCAUCAACCAAAUUGGCAUUGGUAGUGAGAAUCACAUAACAAGAAACAAACAAAAGAUGCAGCAACAGACUGCAGACUUUUCUUGAUACUUGUGCACCAAUGGUAUUUGGGACUGCAAGCACCGCCAUCACCCAAACAACAAUAUUAUUAGAAAAUUGCACGUUAGAUCUGUGAGAUUUCAAGGAAUCAACGCGAGAUCACAGCUACAGUAAAUGAAGACUUCAAAAGGGAAAGCGAAUCACUACAAGCAAGACUUGUUUUUGACAGUAAAUGAAGGAGGAUCCACGGGAGAAGAUAUCACAGUGAAAACAGCAACUCGGAACUCAUAACACAGUGCCAAACCCUCCAUUACUGAGUUUUAAUCGAAGAAACAGUAGUAACAGAGAGGUUUGUUUUCAUGACUGUUGGUGGAGAUUAUCGUUGGAUUCACUCAGUCACCGGUUU
rnacentral:misc_RNA from 1 species